UUAGAGGAAAUUAAAACACUUUAUUAGACUAAAUAAAAUUGACAAGUUAAGAAAUCGCAGCAAAAGAAAUACAGGCCAGCUGAUCAUGCUUGCAAUAUGUGGCCAAUACUGGUGGUAGAUGGACGGUUGGACUAGAUGAUCUUAAAGGUCUUUUCCAGCCUUGAUGAUUCUGUGAUUCUACAAGAAAUGAUUUUAACUCCAGCUGUUAGAAGAGAGGAAGUGUGGUAAAUUAAGCCAGUAAACCCAAGUCACCCUGCAGCUGCUGGCCAAGGAAGCUGCGUCCGGUCUGCAGGUGAGUGCUGAGGGAGCACAGACAUCCCGUCCUGCCCCUGAGCAGGCAACAACUAUUAGCAGACAAAGCUAGGCAAAGCAAGGAUAUGAGUGCUUCCAGGCUUCAUGUCCAGGGGUUGUUCUUCACAGAGGUUUUCUCCUGCACAGCAGCCGCUCCCCUCCUCGUGCAUUAAGGAGAGCAUUAAAGCCGAAGUCCCUUGCACAGCUUUACUUGAGGUAUGUGCUUUCAGAGGAGGGUUUGGACACAAAGAGCCGUCUUGUCACUCGGGUAAACAAGACACAACUAUCAAGCUCGGUUUGGGGCUUAUCAAUUGGAACCAGCAUGAAAGUGCAUUCCCCAGCUCCAGCUUGCAGUUGCAGUGACUGGUUUCUCAAGAUAAACCAAGAGUGCAUUCAAAUAGUUUCCUCACAGAGUGAUAUGAAAGUCACAUUGUUGUUUCCCCACAUCUUACAAGCCAGCUCCCUAAAUAGGAUUUCAGAGGAACAAAGUGAAUGGGAUGCUCAUUGUGCAGGCAAUGGGAGGCGGUACCAGGUGGGUCGGUGGCCGCUGUUCCCCUCCCUCAUCUGUAUUUUAACUGCCCCCUUUUUCUGGCAACACAAAAGCAGCAGCGUCCCAAGCAUUUGGGUGAGAAAGCUCCAGCCACCUGACCCCUGAUUAACUGCACGGCUACAAGUCAUCCUGCUUUGUCUCUUAAUUGGAGCGCCAACCGAUGAGGGUUGGCAGGAGGUGCAUGCCUGGUGACCUGCUGGCUCAGGGCCACCCCGAGCAUCCUCCUCAGCGCGCUCAGAUGCUCCAUCUCCAGGCCCUAAUAAAGUCUCCCAGAGAAUCACAGCCACACAGAGGUGUCGCAACACUGUCUGUCCUCCUCACGCCUCUCAGAUCAGUGUCGUUGUGGGCAAACGGAACAGCCCUGCUCAGAGCUGCGGAUUUAUUGUUGCUGUAAUAGCAGCCCUAACAGCCUCAUCGCAGUGUAACAAACAGUUAUUAUCCCAGUUACAAUCAUACUGACAUUCAUGCUCUGUAUUAAUAUGGAAAAGCAUCAUUAAUAAUGGCCAUAAACCCUGCUGGUCUCGGUCUCCAGUUGAACUCAGCCUUCUGCUGCAGUCGGUGCCAAGGUAAGGCCAAUAGCUGUCCCCAGGCCGACACCAAGCCACCAUGAAAAUCACACUGUGAAAGCCUGCAUGGCUGCUUUGGUCACUGAGAUGCAGCAGUGCUGCUGCUGAGAGACGGGAAGCUCAAUGCAGUACAUGGAUCUCCCUCCUGUUCUGUGAUACCCAGUGCUUUGGAUAUGUUAUUAUGCUCCUUCUAUCAGUACGAUAAUAAUUUCAGUUCAGUUUAGCACAAUAUUGCUUACAUUUAAUAGGUCAUAUGUAUCAGAUAAUAUAAACAUAUAUUAACUUUUAUAAGUUAUCAAAUAUUAGAGCUAUCUCUCUUUAAAAGAAUGUUUUCCUAUUUUAAUGCUCUUUUGUCACAAAUGAAGCUUUAAAUUGAAAGAGAUAGAAAACCUCUUCAGGUGCUGUAUGGAUUUAGUUAUCAUUUAGGAAGGAAAUGUGACAGUUUUUGGAUUUAAAAUAACAUAUUUUUUUUUUUACAGUAACUAUUUAUGCACAACCAUAACACAAAGGCCUUUCAUACCACAGGUACUUGGGAAUAAUUCUUGCUGACGGCUCCAUCCAGUUCCAGCUUGGCUAUGGAGACGCUGGGGACAUGAGAACAGCACGGGGAUGGGGAUCUCCUGGUCAGGGCUGGGUCUCCUCCAUCACCACAUGUCCUCUGUAUCUCUGCUCUGCCACCUCUGCAGAGCCUUUGGCUACAUCAAAAACUCCAUCAGCUCCCUGGUUUUAGUGCCCAUUAAAUCACAUGGUCUGACAUACCUCAGGCUGAAGAUUGCUGUCUGCUCGAGGUCCCAAAAACUUCCCCAAGAGCCCAAAUGUGGCGGAGAGUGGUGCUAAGUACGGCAAAGCAGAGGGGUGAGAGCUCAUUUUAAUAAUGCAUUGCAGUGUUCACGCUGCCCAAGCAUCUGCUAACUGCCUUCAAUUUUAGGUUAAAAAAAAAAAAUAAUAAUGGACUUCUUCCAGGGAGAAGUGUAUGUUUAUCUGCAGGCAAUAAUUAGAGGCUGAUGAUUCAGGGACUGCAAAAGGGAUAGGAAAAAAAAGCCCAAAACCUUGGGGAGGGACUGCAGGGAAGACAGCUGAAAACUGUCCUAGGAUAAAUCGAUCCUGAAACCCAGCCAGGCUGAGCAUCUCCCACCUUUAGAGAGAUGCUGUAAGGAUGUCAUGAGCCCACCUUGGGCUGUGGGCACCCCCUGUGGGAACACAGCAGCCUGGGCUGGUAUCCCAGGGCUCCCUUCCAGCCCUCUGCUAUAAAAAGUGUCUGUCCCUGUCCCCAGAGCCCACAGCUGAUCCCCUGAUGGCACCCCAUCAACCAGCUGGGUGAGACCAUUGCCGUGUGCAGCACUUGGCCCCAGGUGUAACAGAGAUGGAUGCAGACUGGGGCCAUCCCUGUACACCAGGUGUUUAAUCCUUCCCUCUGCACUACAAGAUGCUCACUAGUUCCAUACAGACUUUCAAUAGCUGAUCCAGCAAGGCUCCUGAACAUGCAGUGGGGCUUGACUAGUGCUAUUAAAUAGUGAUUUUAUCCAAGUUCACACAGGUAUUGGAUGGGGAAAUGGAGAGAAUGUAGCAUAAAAUAGAUUUUUUUUUCUUCUUUCUGCAGAAGCUUUAGAUUAAAUAAGUUUGUGGUAGCUGGUAGAAUAAAUUAGAUAGGAGCUGGUGAGAUAGCAGGAAGGAUUAGAGGGUGCUUUCAUGAGUAAGGUCAAGCGAAUCUGAGGGGAGAAUGGUUUUGGGGCGGUAACCUGGGGGUCAGUGGGAGUAGGGGGAGAAGAGGGAUGAGGGGGACCCCUCUGAAGGCCACCUCCCCUCUCUACACAGCCAGUGGUGGUCGCCGUCUGUUUGCUCACCUCAGUGCAAUGCCAACAUCCACCACCUCACUGCAGCCACAAAUUCCCUUCUUCUCAUUUGCAGGGAUAUGAAGCAGGCUGGGGAAAACUUACUCAGUAACUUUGUGAAGAAAUCCAGGAGAGAACAUUAACUCUGCACUUCUCAUCUUCAUCAGAUCACUGCCCUUUAAGUACGCUCAAGCUCAUUUUGCGUUUGCAUUCCUUUGCAAUAUCUACUGAGAGAGAGGCAUUUAUGCAAAACUAUUUCUUUUCCUGUACACUUCUCCGUUGCACUGGUAUCAUUUGCACAUUAAAAAAAAAGCUUGUCCGCUAUUUCCCUUUGUAUUUCACCUUCACUCGUUGAAAAAAAUUCUCCAUCCUCUCACUGCUCGAGAAUAUUCUUAUUUGGGGAAGGGUUUUCAUUAAUCCUGCGGAGGUGGGGCCCCUUUGCAGGAUCUAUCACUUCUCUUUAGGUGCCCUUCCCUGACCUGGCUGGUUAGACCACAGACAAGUCACUAAUUAGGUUGUCUAUUGCCUCCUCCGUGAAACUCAUUUUGGGCUGAUUAAAUGCAUCUAUAAACAGUGCUCAGCUGUCUCCUUGCUGCACGAGGAAAGCGUUGCCUUUUCCAAAUGGUGUUUUUGCUUUGACUGUAACAUCUGGGACAGCACAGAGUCAUUUUCUAAGGAACACAACAUGGUACAGACCCGCUGAUGCCUCCAGGCUUGCUCCUGGCCCUGUGCAGAGGGACCCACUCAUCUUCUCCUGUACAUCUCUUCUUUAAAAGCACUAAAACCACCAGACAAAUCCAGAACGAGCCUGUGUGGCAGCUGAGCUGAGGUUAUAGUGCCGAACACCAAGUGCCAGCAGGGUGAAUGCAGCUGGGCAUCGAUGGUGGCCAACCCAGAAAGCCACAGUGUCAGCUAUGGGUCAGAAUGCGUCUUUUGUCUUGCCAAGAAACUAUCCAUUUCUUUUGGCAGGUUGAUUUCUUUCAUAUCCAAAUAGCUCAGAUCAACACUGGGGCUGUGGAGGUCAGAAGGUGGCACAAGGAGCUUUUCCGCUCAAAACAUCUGAAAAGAAGGUGAUGUUGGCAUCAUCCCUAUACGUAAGAGCCUCUGUUAGAGCCUUCUUCCAAGAGCAAACCUUGGGCAGCCUGUCUCAUGACACCAAGGGAUCUCCAGCAUGCAAUUCCCAUUUCAGAAUUACUGAAUGCAAAGGGCUACAAAGAUGACUGGGGGCAUGAAGUGUUUCUCUUAUGAGGAAAGGCUGAUAGACCUGGGACCCUUCAGCCUGGAGAAGAGAAGCUGAGAGGGUACCUUAUGAAUGCUUUUAAGUAUCCAAAGUCAAGUGGAAGGGCCCAGGCUCUGUGUGGUGGUACCCAGCGACAGCACAAGGGGCAACGGGCACAAACUGCAACACAGGAAGUUCCACCUGAACAUGAGAAAGAACUUCUUUCCUGUGAGGGUGGCAGAGCCCUGGAACAGGCUGCCCAGAGAGCUGGUGGAAUCUCCUUUGCAGAUGUUCAAGUCCUGCCUGGAUGCCUGCCUGUGCAACCUGCCGUAGGGAACCUGCUUUAGCAGGGAGGUGGACUGGAUGAUCUCCAGAGGUCCCUUCCAACCCCUGUGACACUGUGAUUCUGUGAUUUUUUGGAGUGCAAAUGAGUUGCAGGACUUCAGGCUGGGCCCACAUUGCCUUCCUGUGGGUUCCAGAAAGUCACAGAAUCAUCAAAUCAUUUGGGUUGGAAGGGACCCUAAAAGGUCAUCCCUGUCAGCUCCCCUGUAAUGAACAGGGGCACCUACAGCUCCAUCAGGUGCUCGGAGCCCUGUCCAGCCUGACCUUAGUAUCCUUAGGUAGGAGAAGCUGAAGGAUGAGGAAGGUUUCUGCAUCUCAGUGAGUGGAGCAAAGGAAAGCAAGACUUCGGGUAUCGGUCUCAAUUUCUAAACCUUAGGUUUAUUCACCAAUUGCACAGCAGCACCAUGGAGCCACUUGCCAGAACUCAAGCGAAAUGUCACCUCGUGGGACAUGCCACCAGCCUCUUCCUUCCCACUGCUUUAUCCCCACAGACUGCACUGAUGGUGGAGGACAGAAGCUAUUUCUGGCAGUGUGAGGCUGCUGUCACACAUUCCUGCAAAGCCUUCCCUCUGUCGGGGAGCAGCCGCUGAUCAGCAGGGAUCCUCAUCCCACAGCUGGGAUGGGGAGGACACUUCCAGCCAGCCCUGCACAUGGGCACACGGAGUGACAGCUUCAGCUUUGCAUGGUCCUGGCCGUGUUUUACGGAAGCUUUGAGUAAAUGUGGAAAACACACAAUUAGAGGCCAUUGCGUGAUUGAUUUCUGGGCGCAGGGGCCUUUCCUCCUUGCCUGGAAGGCCUGGCAGGUAUUAUUUAAAGAGCUAAUGAAUGUUAAUGGGCACAUUAUUUGCAAAUCUUGAAGUGGAAUAUUAGAUCAGGGCUCCUGUGUGUCAUGGUAAUCAGCUUUCCCUCACUCGCUCUGGCUCGAGGGGGGGGAACACCCUGCAGUCGCUUUGUUAUAUGCUUUUCAGAUUAAUAUCCUUUUUCCAAUCCAGCAGCUUUUCGCUGGGUGUUUCAGUCAAAGAAGCAGAUGGCUCGCAUGCUGGUAUUUGAUGCCUGACCAAAGGGAUUGUCCUGCUCAAAACCGCCCCACCGGGAGUGAGGAGCAAGGAUCCUGCUUUGUCUUCUCCAGAGUGAAAAGAAGAAAGGAUGUGGGGAAGGAGCCAGGGAUGGGCUGGCAGUGGCUCACCUUGGGGAUGGAGGUUGGCCACUGAAGCCCUGAGCUGCGGCAGCAGGUUGGUUGCAUGGCAAGCGCCUGGACAGGUCUUCGUGCUGGGUUUGAGCUGUUCCUAAGCUUAUCUUGCAUCUUCUAUGAGACAGCCCUGCCCACCAUCCCCAUUUUUCGCACAUAUCUCCUUCCUUUCCCCUCCACUAUGCCCACAUCCCUCCAGGAACACCCAUCAGCCCUGUCCUGACCUCCAUGCAGGUUGGUGGCUGCCAACCAACACCUUGGUGUGCACCAACAGGCAGAAAGCCCCUGCUGAGCACCACAGGUGAGGCUUGAGUCUUCUCCGCCGUGCUUUCAGUAAGAACACAGGAAAAGAUUCAUCUCCUGCCCCAAAUCCUGGAUUUCCCAUAAGUCCCAGAAAUGUGUCACUCUGGGUCUGACUUUCCUAAUGGAGACUUUUCCAAGCUUCUGACAGAGGAAUGAAGCUGCUGCAGAGCAAGAAGCACAGCUCAGCCUGGCACAGAGGUCAACUUGCUCCAUAGCUCCCAACAUGAGCUGCAGAAGGACACAUGGCCGCUGGGUGACAGAGGACCAUAUUUAGGUGCUGGAAGUGUUGGUACUCCUGCAGAGAACCACGCAAGGUGGGAGCAGUUCCACCACCCCGGGUGCUCACACAUGCAGUGCAAGCAAAUGAUGGGGAAGGCACAGUGAUUCAUCAAAUCACUGCCAAAACAAAAUUCAUAACCCUCACUAUAUAUUUCCUGCAUCCUAGUUGGUGAAGCAGGAGGAUUUCUACCCAGCCUAAGAAGGGGGAGAGUUUUCUGCUCUGAUAUGUUUGUUCUGUUGCCUCCAGACGUCUUACUGUCUGCCACCCGUUCUCCUUAGCAUAUUGGUGCCAACCUACUUUGUAUUAACAGCAAUUCAAAUGUUAGCAGAUGCUGUCCAUGUUAAUCAAAAAGAAGCUUAAUACAAAUAUAUGAUUACUGUAUGAGUAUUGUAUAAGUGAUAUUCGGCUGUCUUAAGCUAAAAUAACAAUAUACACUUUUAUCCAAUCCUGAUACAUUUAUAAAUAUAUUUAAAUGGGUAUAAAUAUUUAUAAAUAGUUUCUGUAAUCUCCUGUAAUUAGGCUUUAAGCUCUGUGACAGGCAGCAUCUGUUUGAUCUGCGUGCGCUCGCCGUGUGCGUGUGUCAGGUUUCUCUAUUAAAGGCAGCGGAGCCGUGUGGGUGCCUCCGAGGAGCUGCAGGGCUGCAGGCAGCAGGACAGAGCGACAGAGGGACACACCGCGGGGACCGGGUGCAGCAGGGAUGCGUUGUGAGGGAGCCGUUCCUAAACCCUUCUAAUUUCUGCUCUGCAACUCUUUUGAUCGCGACUCUUUUUGGUUUGGGCAGACUGGCAGCAGGUAAAGGAUGAUCUGUGACCAUGUAAUGCUGCCAAGAGCUCCCAGCGGCACCUCCCUGUGCUUGGGAUCUCUGCUGAGUCAGAGAUGGGUGCCCGUACUGUUCCAUGUCCGUACUGACUGCUCAGGGCUGGGAGAUGUUGCUCAGAUGCCUACCAGUCAUUCAGCAGCACUGUGCGGUGACACAGCGCAGGCAGGACAGGAUGCUCUGCCUGUCCCACAUCAGGAUACCACAAGUAGAGCAGGGGACAUGAAGCCUGGGUGGCUUUUUGGACAAAUUCAGGCAGCGGGCACCUGCUUUGUUUGGCUGGAGAACCCACAGCAGCCAUUUGGGGGCAAUGACGCAGCUCAUGCUCUGGGCAGAUGCUACCAAGCGGCCUCAUGCCCUGUGGGCAUAAGAAGGGUGAAGAGAGGAUGGAGAGACAGCACUUGAGUGGCUCCACUCACAUCUAUGUCCUGGGGGAUGCCCAUGUGCACACAACCGGAGGGAUGUCCCCAACUCCCAUGGGUACCACCCUGCAAUCUCCACCUGUGUGCCUGGCUUGAGGGAUGAUAGGGGCACCCUGACCUGCCUGUUCAACCAGCCUGGACACAAAAGCAUGUGAGAGGAGUGUGUUUUGCCCAUGGCCCUGGGGUAAAACCAUGCCCUGGGGUAAAAACACAUCCUGGGAAGGUGGAGGAUCCUUUGCUGUUGGAUGGGGAAGUUUGUGGGAUGGAGACAAGUGCUGGGAAUUGCAGCAAGAUAAGACCCAACCAGGACCAGGGGCAGUGGGUUAUUGCCUUCUCCAGUUUGCAUCUUCAAAAACAGGAGAAGCAACUGAAAAAUACACACAUUGCAAGCUGAAAAGUUACCAAGUGAUCUUUGCUUUGCAGCUUUGCUCCUCAGCUGUGUAUCUUUAAUCUUACCAACGUCUUUAAUCAGAAGAAAAUCUGCUUUAUCCCUAAAGCCUGGGGUCUGAACAUGGGCCAUGCAAACAAAAGGAAGUGAUUGCACAGAGGGGGUUGUAUCCUCUGACCACAGCCACAAUCAGUGGCCUAUAAGGAUCCAAGUGCUUUGUGGGGUUCUUGGGCUGGGUUGGUUUUUUUGUGUGUUUUGUUAUUGUUUUGCUUUGUUGUUGUUUUUUUCUUUUUAAUGAGUUAGCAUGGCUUUCUACAGAUUUGCUCUUCCACGGGCCUGUGGCAUAAGAAAUCACACAAUUGAUAGGGGAAGAAGUUUUGCAGCCAUUCCGCUCCCCUUAGCACACCUCUCCUGCAACACAGUCCUCCUUGUCUGCCUUUCUCCCUCCUCCCUGUGGCCGAAUGCUCUUGACAGCUUUUAGCAGUGAUAAAAAAGCUCGGAGAAAAUGAUGAGACCAGGAAAUAAUCCUGCGUUCAGCCUAGAAUAGGAGAGCAGGGAUGGCACCGAGGGAUUUCUGCAGCCCUCCUGCUGGCACGGGGCCCGUGGUGCCAUCUGCAGAUGGUGAUCCUGGGCACGGAGCGGGAUGGAAGUCACAGGUUUAACCAGAAACCUGAAACAGUGCUCCUUCCCAUCCUUCAAAAAAUUUGCAUCUUGCUUAGUCCAAAAUAUUCCCUUAAAAUGGUAACACUGAUUAAAUUUUAUGAACUGAAAAACGUGGAGGAAGGGUCUGAUUUUUAAUUUAGAAAAUGUCAGAAGCAUGUUUAGAGUUUUAAAUUACUUCUUUUUUUUUCUUUUAAUGCACAACCUGAGGAUUCUAAUUGCUUUUUAACACUGUCUCUCUUAUCAGGAAUAACACUCGAUGAAUAAUGGAAACUCUGGGUUGCCACCAAAGAGGUCCCAGACCUGCAGAAGAAGCAGUUGGAGGAGAGGUGAGACCUGGGCCGCCACCAGGAUACCUUUAUGGGCAUCCUGCAGAGGUGAGACCUAUGGGGAGCAUCCCAAUGGUGGCCAGGUAUGCAGAGGAGAGUGCUAAGGAUGCAAAGGUGAAAGGUGUUGGGAUGAAAGCGUUGGGAUUGGAUGGAUGAGCAUGGCAUAUUGGCUGGGUGAUGCCUGGGGGUGUGAGUGGGGAAAGCUGUGUGAACAGGGUGGAAACCAGCUCCAUGCUGAGGGACUUGGAAUACUCCCUGAGCAAAAUGGUUAAAUGUCCAAACAACACUAAAAAUAGCUCCUUCUUGGGACAGCCAGGAGAAGCAAUGGUAGAUUCAAUCCUGUGCAGGCCACAGGGCUAAUUUAAAAUGUGAUUGAAGAGCCUCUCUAAAAGUGCCCAUCAUGUACUUAAAGUCGGUGGCAUUGUAGGACUUUUUUUUCUUAAAAAAAAAAAAAAAAGAAAGAAAGAAAAAAAUGGAAAAGUUCAUUGCGACUUCAUUUCAAAAAGGCAAUCCACAUAAAAGUGGUGAGGCUUGUUAAAAAGAAAUUAAAAAGCAGCUGUCAAAAGGGUAAAAUUCUUCCAGGGGACAUAGACAUUGUUUAAAGAUCUUCUAUUAGAUGAUGAGAGUAGAUCUAUACAAUUAUCAAAAGAGACUUUAAAAGGGCAAAAAAUUAGCUGUUCUCAUUAAAGAACAGACUAAAGGAGUUUGUCAGAGGUAAAAUAGUAUCCUCCAGAAAGUGGAAGUCACGUCCAAAUGAGGAAAAUAAAAAAGAGCACAAGAUGACAAAUUAAACUUAAAACUACGAUAAAGGGGAGCCCUUUUUUUAUUAGCAGCUUUCUAAGGUAUAGAAAUCGCAUAAUUGACCCUUUUUGUCUAUCAUCUCAGCAGCAGGAGCUGUGGAGGGCCGGGGAGGGUCGAGGUGUGGGAUCAGAGCCUGAAUGUGCAAAAGAGGAUAAUACUGAAAAGGGCCCCAAACACCUCAAUAGUCAGAGCUGAUGGUGAAAAGCUGCAGCCGAACACCUCUGGACAGUAAAAUAAGAGGGAAUCCAGGAAAUGUGCAAAAUGAUGAGCACGGGUGAAGCCAUCUAUUUGUACUUUAAAUAGUCGUGAGCCUUCAAUGAGCUGUUACUGCCCAGGAAAGAUAACUUGGACCUUGCACAGCCAUCGUGUUAUGAAAACAUCGCCUCAGCGAUCUGUGAUGGCCUAAAAAGUAAAUUGAGCGUGGAAAUUUUUAGAGGAAAAUAAAAGUGUUAAACACAACAGAAGAGAUCAAUUUGUCAUUGAGCAGAUCAAUAAUUCACCUGCUACUUAAAUACUGCUCACAAAUCUGUUCCCUCCACUGGAAAGCAAAGAGAGGAAACGAGAAAGAAGGGGAGAUGCAGAGGAAGGCAGCAAAGAUGAGGGCUGGGAGCGGCUGGCAGGAAGGAGGACGUGUGAACCAGGCAAAAGAAAUGCUUUUUCGUAACAAUUUUGCAUAAUUAAACUUCUGCCAAAGGGCAUUGUAGAGUCUGGAUGGGCUGCGGAAUAACUGAGCAGCGAAAGGCAGAGCAUCCUCGGAGAUGCAGUGGGAUGCUUGGGGUCCCUCUGGCCUUGCAGCACCUCCCCAUAAGGAGUGUUGGCUCCUCUUAACUCUAGUUCUGGUUUGAAGCUUCAGGGAGGGAUCCAUCAGGAAACUCCUGAGAUGGGAGCGCGGGGCCAAGCUGCAACACGAGCUCAGAGCAGAAGGAGGUCUACAUGGCACAGCAGGUCCAAACAGGAAACAGAGGGCUGCCUUUAGUACACAGCACGGGAUUUAGGGUUGAAAUGGUGGAGUCACUGUCCCAGGAGGCGUUCAAGAGCCAUGGAGAUGUGGCACUUGGGGAGAUGAUUAGUGGGCAUAGUGGGAUGGGUUGAUAGUUGGACUAGAUGAUCUUAGUGGUUUUUUCCAAUCCUAAUUCCAUGAUUCUAAAUACAGGCCCUUUUGCAUUGUAGGGUACACCCAGGUGGUUUUUGGUGCUAAGGUUGGGCCAAGUAUCCCCUGUUGAUGGGUUCUGCAACAGCAAGAGAUGCCAUGGGUAUCAACUGCCCAAUUCAGCUGCAAUAAAGAGUUGGAAGCCCUUACAGCCAAACCCAACAGUCAGUUCUCACACAUGCUGCACGUUUUUACAGCUCUGCCAACUGAUUUAUUGGAAAACAGAAAACUCUCAAAUUCUCAGAGCUAUAAAUGCUCUUUGUUUCAGUUCCUUCCUGACAAGCGUAUUUAUGAUGAUCACAAAGGAAAGAUCACAACAAAUCCUGGCAAAAAAUGGAAGCGAGAGGAGCGAGCCAAGCUGCAGAUAAUAAGUAACAAAUCAGGGAAAGGAGGAAGGUAAUGGUUGUGAUUAAAAAUCAGAUGCUAUGAAAUAAAGAACAAUUGAUGAGAGAAGUGAAAGUAUCCAUUUAAAAAACCCGUAUCCAAAUGCGUUAUGGACAACAAGAAAGCAUUUUAAAUUAUCUGGAACAUGAGAAAUUCUAGCAAAACGAUGAUGGUAGAGAUCCAUUUUUUGAUAGAUGUGGUAGUGCUGCCAAUAAUAACGCAGACGAUGCAGAAGGGCCCAAAACCUGCUCGGGGUCUGAAACACUGAAGACUACAUUUUUUCAGCUCACGGUCCCCACCAUUUUCUAUUCCAACAGCACUGCACACAGCAGUUACCAAAUUGUUAACAGUUUAAAAGAUGUUAAGCUGCCACCCUUAAUUAGCUGAAAUAAUUAUUAAUUUUUAAAGGCUUUCAAUUAAUUUUUAAACCAGUUUUCAUCUGCACAAUCAGCCAACUUGUUUAUAAAUUUGGGAAGAGAAAGCACUAAAUAUUUUACAGGAAUGACAGGGGGAAAAAAAAAAGAGGUGGUGUGGUACUUCUUAUGAGCUUGGAAAAAAGAUGCAUUUCCAAAAGCAGUUUGGGAGCCUGGGGUUUGCCUUUGAUGUAGAAGUUUAUUGCCUUUGUUAUUCUCUAAAAAAGUCGUGAGACGUUUUGAUUUGUUGGGUCGCAGUGGGUGGGAGGUGACGAGGAAGGUUUGGUUCGUGAUUUGUGAGGCUGUGGGUUGCUCUGGACAUUCAGGAUUUUCCUCUCGGUCAAACCGCCAUGACUCAAGCAGAAUAUUGGUAAAAGAGCCAUAAAAUUACCAGGGUCGCUGCGACACUCAUUUCAUUAUGAAUCCAGAUGCAAUACAAAUGAAAUGAUGUUUAAGCAGGGAAAUGAUGCACUCCAUCUCUACUGCAAAAUAUGAGCGUACAAAUGUGAAAAUUUGGGUUCCAAAAGGGCAUUUGUAAGAAAUAAUGCCUUCACCCCUGUAGUGCAGCACUUCUUGCUUGGCCAGGCUGGGGAGGCCGUGCCUGACAGAGAACAAAUUGCUGCUUGGCAUCCAUGCCUCACAUCGGUGCCUUCUGGCAUUGCCAUCUGCAUUUCAGCAGGGUCUCGUGUUACCUGUGUCCUGGAUUGUGACACCGAGCAAUGGUGGGAACAGCUGGAGAGACCCCAAACUUUCCCCAGGGCAAAGCCAUCAGUGUGCAAGGGCACUGCUCUCAAGAACUGCAUGAGAUUCAGUAAUUAAAAGGAUUGAUCAUUUUUUGCAAUAGGGUUCGUAUGGCACAUAUAUAUAGAGAGAGAGAGAGAUGAGGUUACACAGAACCACCAGGUUCUUGGUCUACGUCUGCACCGAGCCCAAGCUGCAGGUUAUCCUGGGCAAAUGAGAGGUGGGAGCAGGGAUGCAGGUGCUGCCAACUUCCAUGCAUCCACCCCCAGGGGCUAACAGAGCCCUGCUGCAAUAACGCUGUAUUCAAAACAAAACAGAGCAUGCUAUCCAACAAAAGAAAAUAAGGACAUGUAUCAACAGCAUAGCUGGAAAGUUUCAGUUUUAGCCUCUCCUCUGGUCCCUCUCUCUCCAUAUUGAAGACAUUCACCAUCUUUUGGCAACUCAGUGCUUUCCGAGGCAGUCUGGACAUGUGACAUCAUUCAUGUUGAUGCAGCACAAUCAUUAAAGAUUUUUUUUUUCUUUGCCAUAAUGGGUUUCAUUUUGAAUAGAGUGUGCUGAUGGGAAAUAUCCAUCGUGGUGGGAGCGUGCAGUUCCCAGCACUGCAGCAGGAGUGGGGUGCUCCAUCAACUGCACCCCUGGGAUGAGCUCUCCAGACUAGAGCUGCAGCUGCUGCUUGUUCAUCCCCACACAUAUGGGGCUGUUGGGCCCUGGUGGGCACCGGGGAUGGAUGAGCAGCCAGCCUGGCUGGGAAGCUGAUGAGACUGUAGGAGCUGGGGUUUGAAAUUGGGUGUCCUGCAAUGUGUGGCCCGAAUCGAGCACUCCCGCUUCCAAAAUCCUAGGAGAGCAGCUCAGAACACAUCAGUGGUCACACUUCCAGCCCAGCCAAAUUUGUAGAAAAAGUCAGAAAGCCAUAAAAAUAAGGCAGCAGUGUUGGCUGUUGUUCACCAUUGCUAGUGCAUAUCCCAGCCCAUUCCCAUGGCAGGUGCUCUCCGAUCAGGAUGGGUGAGAGGGGAGCACAGGUUCUUCCAAUCACCACCAGAGCCCUGAAGUUCCCACCAGUGGGUAACACCUUAAAGCUGAGCUGCACAGAGUGCAGAAGGAUGGGCUAUAUCUGGACGUGCUGAAAUAUUUGUCUUGUGCUCAUACAGACCCAGCCUGCCUUGCACGCCUGUUUGCCUAACUGAUGGAGGCUUGAUAGCUGCAGCAGGGAGCUCAUUAAUUGAAUUCCAAAGGGAUUAAUUACGGCAGGAAUAAGAGGGCUCUCUGUCAUCUUGCAGGUUUUUCCAUGCUGCUGGAUUUGAGGGGCCUGGAAUGUGGUGAAGGCUGGAGGAGACCACGGUGUCUCCGCUGUGACACUGCUGUCCUGCUGGGCACAGAGAGGGGUAACACCAGGUCUCAGUGGGACACCAUCUGCUGUUUCCUUUAUCUGGACAACGGAGAGGUGUUGAGGUGAGUGGAAGGAGGUGGGGAUGGUUCUGUGCUCCCCUCAGGAUAGCAGCUGGAUGGCCAAGCAGCAGCACCAGCACAUGGCAUGAUGUGGUGAGACCUCAGGGCGCGCAUCCAGCAGCACAAUGACAGCCAUGUUCACCAAGGUUUAUCCCCACCAUGCCACAGGGUGCUUUGCAGGCUGGGUAUGGACAUAAGGAGCCCAACAGCUGCAAAAACCUGCCCUGGUAAAGUGCUUGGCAUGCAGGGUGCUGCUGCAGAGCAUUUCCUUUGGCCCUGCGACCCAUCCAGCCAAGCCCCAGGGAGGAACCAGGAUUUCCUGUGUUUAAAAAUACACAUUUUUAUAUGCAUAUAUAUAAACAUAAUCCUCCUUCCCUCUUUCAGAAGUCGAAAUUAACUCCAGCUGUGCCAGUGAUACAGUUCACUGUGCAGACCCGCAGAUGUGGGAAGGUGCUGCCAGAAAAACAGUGAAGGGGCUUAAAGACUUCCCUGACCACCACAGCUGCUGGGAAAAAGGCAUUCCAUGCUGCUACACUCUAAACCAACCCCUGGCCCUGCCUAUUCAACAGCUUUACUGCUUGACACGCCAUGCAGAAAAUGGUUCUUGGCUGUUAAAAGGUUUUAGCACAGUUGUGGGAGGACUUUUUGCCUGGCCCUGGCUGUGCUCUGCCUUAGGGACAUGGUGGCAGUUUGAGGAUGCCUGAAGCAGGAGCCCUGGGUCCCAUCACCCCGCGCUGCUGAUGCUGCAGGAAGGCCAAGUGUUUUUUUCAUAGGGCAAGGAGAAGGCUGGGCUGCUAGGUCCUGGAAAAACAAAUGGAGGGGCUCCCUCUGUGCAAAAGAUGGUUGGUACUUGGAUGCCACCUCCUUGCACUGCCCUCAGUGAGGGCAUCGCUGGUCCUUGGGGAUGUGAAAGGCUGAACUGUGAGGGGAGCAGCACCCACAUCCCUGCAGCUUCAGCCAUGGCCCUGAGCACCAGCCCCCCUCCUAAUGGCUGUAUGCUCCUCUCCUGGCGGAGCAUAUGGCUCCCCUUAUGCUGCUGUCGUGUCCAAUCUCACACAGUGGCCCUAGUGCUCUUAAUCAGUAGGCAAGCACGUGGAUGCCUUGGUAAGUGAAAGGUUUGUACAGGGGAUGGAAGCAAUGUGUUGGUUCCCCCCCACACACAUCUUUAGUUUCUUAGGAAAUAAGUGCAAAGUGCAGCUCAGAGUGUCCCCGGAUGCAUUUCUCCUCUGUGCUGGGGUUGGAGCAUCCAAGUGAGGGAGAUCCCAGGAUGUGGGAACAGGAUGAGGAGGGGCAGUUUGGCAGGAGGAGGGUUAUUGCUCCCAGCGUACCCUACCAGCACCCACACGGCACCUCGGGGGCAGGAAGAAGGGCACACAUCAAAAAUGUAGGAAGUGCCUUGCUGGGAAAGAGUUGAGGUAAAGGGAGAAGCUACUCUAGCCAAUGUUUAAUAGAAAAAGCACUAAAGCUAGAGACAGCUAUAGAGAAAUAAGAAAUCCAUUUUUUAAUGGAUUUGACUGUGCUUUAGACUGGUUCCAAAAAGCUUGGAGUGAUCCAAUUAACAAGGUAAUGAGUUGCUGAGAUAUUUACACUGCUUCUGGACAAGGCUCUGGUCCAGGGUAUUAAUUUGCUUGGGAGGGGGUGCAUAUUGCAGAUAAGUUUCCAUUUUUUUCCUUGUGGUUAUAUUCAGACUCGGAUGUUUUUGGUUUUUUUCAAAGGACUCCCAUUAUUUCUGACUUAGGGUUUGUUCCCUGUGGGUGUCAGCUCCCCUUCAAAGGAAAGAAAGGGGCUUUUCUGGGGGCAGCAAGGCUUUGUGAUUACCCAGGGGAUCGCUGGGAGGUUGCAGGACUGAAAGGAAACCCAAAAGAAAGGACCUUCCUCCCAGGGUAGAACAUCACUAUUCCAGCUCAUUCUCUACUUUCUAUAUUUAUCAGGUGCUCUGAUAAAGCCCAGCUCUUAAGUUUUGGGGUAUUUUGGCACGAAGUCUUGGGGAGGAGGUGCAGGCAGGCUCUCCUAGAGCUCAAGGACCUCGUGGGGUUUUGCUGGCCUGUUAUCGGUAAUAGAAACAGUGGAAAAGCAACAUCUCCAGCAGCUUCAGGUUUCAUUUCUCCUUUAGCCCUUGGGUCUCCAAGGUAAACUAUUAUAUUGCCAAUAUUGAGUGCAGUGUUGUUUGAAAGUAGUAAGGCUGCAGAUCAUCAGAGGUCAGGUUGUAUUUGAUUUUGGCCAAUUGGCAAUUCCCCGUGUUUGCAUCUGUUCCUGGAAGUAAAUGUCUUCUUGCUUUCUGCACUAAUGCCAGCAGCAGCCAAAAGCUUCCCAGGCGCCUGGGUGAGGGCAGAUCUUUACCAGCACUGCCCUAAGCUGGGGAACAGAACCUGAGCCCCCAUUCCUGAGCUCUAAUGUUGAGCCUUUUCCAGCAUCUCUGACUGCCAUGCAGGAGAACCUGGAUCCAAGCCUCAGAUGGAGCAAAAAUAUUUGAACCUUGCGGAGAAAAAAAUGGGUUUUGUGCGUGUACCUCUCAGCUUGCAGGUGCCAUCUAUCAUCCUGCUGCUUCCUGCAGCACCUGGCUGGUCUGUACGUGUGUGUGGCCAAGGUUCCCAGGCACCUGGAGAAAGGGACAAGGUUAGUCUUCAGGAUCCAUGCAUGGAUGUGUUCUAGCCUCCACGAUGGAUUUGCACAGUGUGUUUCCUGGGCAAUGCAGGACUUGCCCCAUGAGGACAAACCAGCUGCCUUUGGGCACGAAGCCCAACCUGAGCAUGCUGAACACAUCAUCCUUUUGGUCCUGCUGGUGGUGUCAGUCCUUUGGGUGAUAUAUCUUGAGCACACUUAGCUGGUACGUUCCACCUGAAGUUUUGGUCAGAAAGUUCUUGCUGAGGGCAGUAGGGGAUGGCUCAAAAUGGCUGUAGGUUACUCAUGCAGGUCUAUCCCAGAACAUCCCCUGGGAAGAAUGGACAGUGCAUUGUCCUUUGAAAUCGAGUCCUCUGCCAAAAAUUACUUUGGUCAUUUAUUUUAAUUCCUCCAAGUCCUGAUAGUGUCAACUACUUCUUGGUUGAGCAUGACGUCCAUUUUGCUGUGUUACUUCUGCUUUGGAUGAAGACCUUGAGAGUGCAAAGUCCUGGCUGACUUCACCCAGGGCAGAAUGCUGGAUUGUGCUGCAGAAGUAUCCCACCUAGGAAAGGGGACUGGCUUUAAGAGUGGAGGAUUGCUACUGAGAGUCUGCUCUGACCCAGGAAACUAUGGAUUACCUGCAAGAUGUAUUGGAAUGGCUGUCAGCCAAGGGCUUCUCAGCCUUCCACUAAGGCAAAGAUAGGGAGGAUGGAGAAACUCCUUUGGAGCAAUUGCCAUGUCAGAAGAGCUAACACAGCUGGAGGCUUCCUGCUCACCAAGAGGUGCUGGCAAACCUCAAGCUUAGGCAUCAGAAUAGGGAAGUACAAGUCUCUGGGCCCUGUUGCUUGCAGGUAGCUGUAGCCACGGGAUUUUCUGGUAAGAACACCUCACUAAUUUGUUCCCCUGAUACUCCUUCCCAGAAUAAUUCAGCAUCAGGACUGCAGAGAUCAGUGUCCAAGGAGGGAUGCUCCCCUUGGUGGGGACAUCCUGAGCAGCAGCUGAACAUCUCACGUUUGGGAAAUGAUGGUCGAGUACGACUGUCCAAACAGUACUGCUGGAUGCGGAUCUUUCCACAGUGCCCUGCAGGAUCUUCUUCCUGCAUCUCUGAGUGAUGAUAGAGCUGGGAAGACCUUUAAAAAAGAUUGAUGACACACUAAGAAAAGAAGCUUUUUUUUUUUUUUCUUUUUUUUCUCAUUUUAGUCUGAAGAGUUAGGUUUCCAAGCUUUGUUUUUCAGAUUUUAAAGAAAUACACACACCUAGGGGGAGGCAGGCAUGUUUCAUUAACAGUUCAGCACAGCCCAAAACAUGACAGCAAGCCUCCAUUUGAAAUUACCGACACACUGGAGCAGCCCUGCUGGGCUCCCUCUUUGCAGGACUGCCAGCAUCGCUGUGAACCCAAACACCCGGACGUGGAGGCUGCCUCUCCAUCUCCAUUAAGGCUCUUUUCAUGACACAGCUUAUUGUCAAGCACUGUUCGCAUCUCUUGCCUUCUGACCAAUAAUUGUUGCUGUUGGUUUGCUCUUAUCCCAUUUAUUAUAUAGGUUGUUUUAUGCUUUUUUAUUGCUUCUUUCACCUUUCAUCUAACCAAGGUGUAUUUUUCCAUUGCCUUUUUAACCAGUGCAGCUGGUAUGAACACAUUUAGAGCAUCUUUUAGAACGGUCUUCAACGACUCUAAAUUAAUCACUCAGAAAUAUUUCCUGUGAUUUUCCUACCAGUUCCUAAAUAUUUUCAGCUUGGGCACAGCAUGUGCCUGUCUUGGUGCCCAGGCACGUAUCACUUUUGGGCACAGCAAUAAAAUCAGGGCACGACAUACCAAGAUAGCUGCUAAUAAGGGUUUUAAUUUGGUAAUCAGUUCACCCUCAACCAUUAGAAAGGGGGCAAAGAUGGUAAUAUCCUGGAGGCAAUGAAUGCUUUGAGCCGGAAAAUAAUCAGGGUAUGUUUCUGAAGCUUCAAGGAUAUGUGAUUAAGAGCCACCCGAGGUCUCCCAGGAGCUGUGCCUGCAGCCACAGUAGUGUAGGGUGCAUUUAUCUCCCUUUAGGUAAAGCAAAACUCAAGUCACUCAAUCUACAUCACUCCCUUCAGGAUACAGUCUGGGGACAAGGAGGAGAAUUCUCCUCUUUUGGAAGAGAUCACUCAAAAAAUCCCCAGUCCAGGAGCUCUGCUUGAGGAGCAGCACGUUACCAUGCGCCGGGUGUUUUACGGUAGAUGCCGGGGGCUGGCUCCUGCCUCCUGGCACUUCCUUAGAGAGAAAAUAAAUCUUGAAUUACCUUGUUUUCAUUUCCAAUAAAACUGCAUGCUGACAGUUGCCUUGGAGCUAAUAAUCUGAUACGGUGCUGUGCAUCUGUGAGUGUUUGUAGCAUGGGUGUGCUGCUUCUGUGUUUGAGACUGACAGGGGCAGCGCUGUAUUGUUUUCCUCCUGCUAUAUUGUGUUCCCAGCACAUCACAAUAAAAAGAAAUGGGAAGGUAGGUGAUUUAUCAUAAUACAAAAAUGAAAGGUAUAAUAAUGUAAAUUAUGCACAUCAUUAGCCACAGUCGUUGCUCUACAGUGGACACAGGUUCUACAAGAAAAUCGCCCUUAGGAUGAAGCCAUGACAACUGUCUUUGAAGGGCUUCCUUGUAGAUGCUGGAAGACCAACAUGCUCUCUUCUCAUGAGGUUUGGAGAACUGGCUGAGAGUCCCAUCAGUGUAGUAACGGCUGCACAAGGCACAGGGUUGCACACUCCCCCUGUACCCCUGAACACGUCAAGCACUGUGGGUGGGAUUUGUAUGGUUACAGUGGACGUGGACCAGUUGCUCUUAUCCCCGUGUCUCCUCAAGGCAACUGAAGUCAAUGGCAUGACCCACUUCUUCCAACAGAUGGCAGAAUAAGGGUAGGUGAACUACAGGGCGCCCCAGCACAGGAGGCUCAGAACAGCCAUCUUGGGUAUCUCACUUCCAUCUCUAGCGUUGCUCGUGGUGAGUCCUAUCCCACACUGCUGUGUUCUCAAGAAAUAAAGGGGGGAGGAAAAAUCUAGCGAACUGAAUGCUCCUUCCUUCCCAAUUUCUCACCUUUCUGCUCAUGCUUUUCCCUCUUCAAAGAGGAGUUCCAACUUUUUCAUCACAUCACCUCCAUCACAGGGAAGUGGUGACACUUUGCAGCACAGAGUGGGAUUUCCCAGCCCCCCUCCUACCACCCAGAUUCCUAACGCUGGUUUACAGCAACUUAAACCUUCCUGUGCAGAAUUUUCCCCUGUAAAAAUUAGACCUCAUGAAAAUAAAUAAUUCCCACAGGAAAUUUCAAUUUGAUUACAAAUAUUGACUUGCUUGGGGGAAGUUUUUUCAAAAGAAAAAUCCAUUUGGAAUCAACAUUUUCAAAUUAAACAUGUAUGUUUCACUCUGUUAUAGUACUUAACUUGGAAAAACACCAAUUUUGUUUCCUGUGGUUGGGGAUUUUAGGAGUUGCUUCCAUCCAUAUUUUUCUGCAAGAGCUGAACAAAAGACAUGUUUUUAAAAAUAGGCAAAGCAGGGGGUGCGGGGGGGGGGAAGAUUUGUUUUAAUUGUGAAGGAUUAAAAAAUGUAGUGUAAAAUGUUGUAAAUCACUUUCAUGCUUCUAAAAGAAAAAAAAAAGCAUAAAUAUACGCAUUAAAAUGGAAUGAUUUAGUGAGGUUGUGGCAGCCAGAAGACAGAUGCGGGAAGGGCUUGGUGUUCCACCAGCAGACAGCAGAGCUGUGGCAUGGGCUCCCCAUUACUUCUGGGCUGAGCCCACGAGCAUGAGAGGAGUCUUCCCCUAGACUUACCGUUGAGGCACAGAGGCUGGAAGGUGUUUGUAGGGAUGACUGUCCUCAGUUUAGAGCUUUGUGCCAUAUCAAAGUUGUGCUUCAGACAUCCCUCUGUCAUUCUUGGGUUCGGCCCUGCUGGACAAAGCAAAACACAACAGCUCAAGAUGUGCAUUUUUGCCCAUUUUCCCUCAGAUUUGCUCUUUCCUCAUUGAGAGUGACCACCCCACUCUCGGAAACACAGAAGUCAAGCUGAAUUGCAUUGGAAACCUCGUGCAUUUCAGGAUGAGUGCUCAGGUGUGGACAGGUUGCUUCUGCCAUUUGUGGAUUAAAAAAAGGCUUUAAAAAAAGGUUAAUUGUGAACGAAGCUUGACAGAACCACCUUUGAAGGGAACGGUAAAGAAGGCCAACAAAAGGAAAGAAGUUUAAAGCCGUUUAGAUUUAUCAAAUGUAUUCAAAAUGAGAGGAUCUGAUAAGAUGCACCCAGGAACACUGAACUCUUGGUGAUUAUCUUCAAAAUUUAUGAAGGCACAGAGGUCCCUGGAGAUGAGAGAAGCACCUUUCUUUAAAGUGGAGACUUUAAGAAAAUUUGGAAUAAUCAACUCAAUCUCAAUUCCCUUCAAGAGGUUAGAAGAAAGUAUUAAACGAGCAACUUGUAAGAUGUAAAAUGAUGAAUAAAAUCAAAGAACAUGGGUUUGUCAAGAGCCAGUCAUGUCAACCCAAUUUAAUUUCCCUCUGAUAUGGCAACAAGCAUACACGAAGAUGGGGAAGCAGAAAACACAGACGUGAGGCCUUUUGCGUUUUCCCACGGGGCAGCCUCAAAAAAGCUGAGAAAAUGCUCUCUAAAACCAAUCAGAGCUCAACUGGCAGAGUAACCACUCUCAAAGAGGAGGGAUCAAGAGGAGAGGACUUUUCUCCAGCUUCAACCGUCACUCUCUGGAAAGGACAAUUGCCCUUCCUCUCCGUACAGCCACGUUUUUCCAACUUGGCAUCCCUGUGGUGUGGCCACAUCCACAGCUUUGCCCAAGUGAAAUCAAGAUUAAACCUUUGUUAUGCUGAUUUCCAGUAUCUCGUGUUCCUUUACCCUUCAUUUCCCCAUGACGUCAGCAUCCCCACACAUAUUCAAGUAGACAUGUUUCGAUGCAGCAUUAUCCCCGUAUUAACCCUUGGAGCUGACACUGAGCCAAGAAAGUGCUUUCAGUGAAGCUUCAGGCACUCCACCCACCUUGAGAACAGAGAAUCCCAGCAACCCGCAAAGUGUGAAUGCCACCAUGGAGGCUUUGCCACUCCAUUCCAGACAGAUGGAUGUAUGUGGGCCCUUGCAAGCCGUGAUCAAGGGACUUGGUGAGCUGUAGCACAGCUGCUGGAGAAAUGCAGGAACAGAAGCUUUUGAUACAGUUUCAAACAAUGUGUAAUUAUCAGGUAGCUGAAAAUUAGCCCAUCUGUGCCUCGGGAAAAGACAAUGAGAAGUUAUGUGUUACUAAUGGCUGAAAAGAGCUGGCAACACAAAACAGGAAAUCUUCAGUAAACUUUUCUUUAAGGUAAUAUAAUUACACGAUGUAAUCCCCAAAUCUCCCAACUUUUUGGUGGCUUUUGAUAAAGCUUAUGAGGUCUUCAUCCUUCUUUCAUUUUCGUCUCCUCAUUGCAGCCAGUGUGGUCGCUGGCAUUUCGCGCCGUGCCAGCCGUCUGGCUGGGUACCUUCAGCAGCAGAUGUGGGUGACAUAAACUGCCUUUGCAACAGAACAGCUAACAACUUCUAUCAGGUUUUCCUAAAGCAGAUUGUAAAUAUCCGCAUGCCUUUGCCUCGCUAUCUGAAAGCAAAGCACACGAACUUAUAAUGCUGUUUUGAACAAAAUUUCUAUGCUGAUGGAGUUGGCAGGCCAGAGUCUAGGUCUCUAAUCCGGGUCAACGCACACGCAAGCAUCAGCGCAGUUCAGAUUUGGACCCCUUUUUGUUUUCUCUGCUUCUGGUCGUUGCUGAUCCAGCAUGCAAAAAAAGAAAGAAAGAAAGAAAGAAAAGAAAAAAAGCAUGCUUUUUUUUAUUGAAGUGCCUUGAGGAUCCAGUGAUAAGGUCUGUGGGGGUCAGGGAAGCAAAACUGGAAUAGCAUAAAACUCAUGCAAAUAGCCUGGGCAGGGUAAAUAGCUCAUGAUUUUUUUAUUCAUACUUUUGUCUGUGGAAUAACUGGGAGCAAAUUGCUUUUUCCUCUCCCAGUUCAAAUUAUUCAGGGACUUUUUCUGCUGAUUUUUGCUAUUCUCCCUUUUGCGAGCGUUUGCUCUCGAAGAUGGCCCGCUUAGCUCUGAAUGGAAAGCAAAUGUUGCCUUCACCUUCAGUGAACUUUGAAGCAAUUGAUUUUACCGGCAUAAAAGAAAAGCUGAAAAGCGACCGCUCGUGGUUUUUGUAGAGGACGGGUUUUGCCAUUUCACAACUGUCUGUGCGUGAGGAAGCAGGCGACUCAGAAGAGAGAUGACAGCUGCUCUUUCGUCUUGUCCCAGCUCCGCCAACAGCCCUGUCCUCUUCUGCAGGUGGGGCAAACGCCUGCACCGUCAGCAUCUCGCCAGCCACCACGCUUUAAACAAUUCGUAAUAGGGAGGAUUCCAGCAAAAUUAUUCUCGCUGGCUUUUGUCUGAUAAUCUGAGGUCAAGAAAACAAACUGCUUCCUCUCUGCUCUCUCCAGCACUGCGGCGAGAAAUGCAGCCAAGCUCCAGCACCGAGAAUAAAGGCAGAGUUGGCACAAACACAGGAGCUUCUUAAAUGAGUUUGCCAUUAGCCGGAAGGGCUGCAAAUUGAAGCGAAGAUAAGCCCCUUAGCAUUUCCCUUCUUUAAUCCAAGCCUCAUAAAAGCGGAGAUGUGUUCCUAUUCAGUGGGCUUUAUACAGAGGCAGGUAUUUCAUUUACCCAAAAACCCCUGGAUCGGAUAAAUUAUUAAUGUUAUUUAUAAAGGCAAUUCUGCCAUUCAGCAACUUCUUUUGGAUCCCUACGCUUAAUCUCACUGCUUAGCAUAAGAUACACUCCAGUUAAAAGGCAAAAUCACAUUCCUUUACAAGGCCUGCAAAAUAACGGAGUGCUGAGGUGCCUGAAAAAGGGUUGUAGUUUAAAUACCGCUUUAAAGACUAAUACAUUUAUCAGUGGCAAACACAAGCACUAACUUGUGCUUGCUUGCAUCCUCCCUGCGUGCUGGCUGGGGCCUCAUUCGCACGCAUGGAGAGCCGUCAGAGCUGCUCAGAGCGACGGAGAUGCAAAGCACGCUUGUGCUAAUACGAGCCUUUCUAAGGCAGCUUGGUGGUUGGGUGGAGCUGUACGGUGAGCCAGCAAGUUUCCCUGUCCUCUCCCGGUCUGUCCUGCUCUGUGCUCCUGGACACCCACAUCGGUUGCUGGUUUCUGCAGGGUUGCCAGGAGGCAAGCUGCUACCAUGGGUACAGAUGUCCUGAGGUCAGCUGACGGAGUCAGGAUGCUUCAAGACCACAAAAUGGGUCAUCAGGGACCCUGGGAGAGCCACCACCACCACAAGGGCAUCACAGAUCUCAGCCCCAGGAAAGCCAGCGUGGUAUAUCACCAUGAAGAGCAAGGGAAGAAACAGGAGGAGCUGGGAGUCCUGGGGCUCAGAUGGCAUCAUGAUUUCAGCUGCAAUCUGGGGCGCAGUGCAGCAGUUCCCAUUGCACAUUCCUGGAUUCCCUCUUAUUUUGGUGUGCUAGCACCAAAAGGUGGAGCAGCACCGCUUCAAAAAAAGGGAGAAAAUGGGUAUUUCAGGGUAAAUGCUGAGGAAGAGGAGACUCAGCAUCUCUGGAAACAGAUGUGCUCAGUCCUCUAGGAUAAGAACAACAGCUCAUUGCUCUCACAUCAGAAUUACACACAGAAUUAACAAAACCAUGAUAUUCUGAGAGCUUUUGGAUGAGAAGCAUUCACAAGUGAUGUGUGGAAAAAGUGUAGUUGCAAACCAUACAUUAGACAGUAUCUGAACUACAUGACCAAGGAGAGAUAGCAUGAGCAGAUCCCAACCCUGGGAGGGGCCUUGGAAAGAAGCAGCAAUGCCAGCUACACAAACCCAGCACACAGAACGAAUCCUGGCUACUUUUUCUUAGCAGGAAGAAACGAAUGUGAAGAAAAGAUCUGAAAUAUUGACCAUUUCCUCACAAAUGAGAUGUCUGCUUUGCAGUCUGUUCUGCAUGUCCUACACUAGACAAGCAAUAAUAGAAAUUCAGGAAGACAGAAGAGAUGUGCACCCUGCCUCACUUUCUUCCCAGAGACUGGAGAAGCAGCCCCCUAUCCAGUGCACUUGCGUGAGGAAGAAGCUUUCCUGCCCUUGCCUGGCUGCAGCUCCCAGCAGGCACUGGCAGCCUGCACCUGAGGAGAAGAUUGUUCCCAAAAAAGAAGGGGAAAAAACCCUCACCUGUAGCUCUUCCACCAGCUUGAGAGGACUGCAGUUCUCAGCCAGCCCUGGCACAACCACAGCAUCAAACUGCGCCGCUGCAACUCGAGGAUGUGGCUGCUGCUCCAGCCCCUGGCCGCCAACCUCUGCCUCCCUCAGCCACAGCAUUGCCACUUCCACCCUGCUGGAUAAAUC
ensembl:lncRNA